GGUCUUGUGGUCUAGUGGUAUGAUUCUCGCUUAGGGGUACGCACCCCAAUCAUAAAAGAUUUAUGCGAGAGGCCCCGCGUUCGAGUCGCGGCAAGACCC